AACGAACGCUGGCGGCAUGCCUAACACAUGCAAGUCGAACGAAGCCUUCGGGCUUAGUGGCGCACGGGUGCGUAACGCGCGGGAAUCUGCCCUUGGGUUCGGAAUAACAGUUAGAAAUGACUGCUAAUACCGGAUGAUGUCUUCGGACCAAAGAUUUAUCGCCCAAGGAUGAGCCCGCGUAGGAUUAGGUAGUUGGUGGGGUAAAGGCCUACCAAGCCGACGAUCCUUAGCUGGUCUGAGAGGAUGAUCAGCCACACUGGGACUGAGACACGGCCCAGACUCCUACGGGAGGCAGCAGUGGGGAAUAUUGGACAAUGGGGGCAACCCUGAUCCAGCAAUGCCGCGUGAGUGAUGAAGGCCUUAGGGUCGUAAAGCUCUUUUACCAGGGAUGAUAAUGACAGUACCUGGAGAAUAAGCUCCGGCUAACUCCGUG
rnacentral:rRNA from 1 species